rnacentral:rRNA from 1 species
GACGAACGCUGGCGGCGUGCCUAACACAUGCAAGUCGAGCGAAUGAAGUUCCUUCGGGAAUGGAUUUAGCGGCGGACGGGUGAGUAACACGUGGGCAACCUGCCUCAUAGAGGGGAAUGGCCUUCCGAAAGGGAGAUUAAUACCGCAUAAGAUUGUAGUACCGCAUGAUACAGCAAUUAAAGGAGCAAUCCGCUAUGAGAUGGGCCCGCGGCGCAUUAGCUAGUUGGUGAGGUAACGGCUCACCAAGGCGACGAUGCGUAGCCGACCUGAGAGGGUGAUCGGCCAAAUUGGGACUGAGACACGGCCCAGACUCCUACGGGAGGCAGCAGUGGGGAAUAUUGCACAAUGGGGGAAACCCUGAUGCAGCAACGCCGCGUGAGUGAUGACGGCCUUCGGGUUGUAAAGCUCUGUCUUCAGGGACGAUAAUGACGGUACCUGAGGAGGAAGCCACGGCUAACUACGUGCCAGCCGCCGCCGUAACAC